CAGUAGCCGCGGGAAUACGAAGGGGGCUAGCGUUGCUCGGAAUUACUGGGCGUAAAGCGCGUGUAGGCGGGUCCUUAAGUCAGGGGUGAAAUGCCAAGGCUCAACCUUGGAACUGCCUUUGAUACUGGGGAUCUUGAGUCCGGGAGAGGUGAGUGGAACUGCGAGUGUAGAGGUGAAAUUCGUAGAUAUUCGCAAGAACACCAGUGGCGAAGGCGGCUCACUGGCCCGGAACUGACGCUGAGACGCGAAAGCGUGGGGAGCAAACAGGAUUAGAUACCCGUGUAGUCCCUGUCUCUUAUAC
rnacentral:rRNA from 1 species